CCUACGGGGGGCAGCAGUGGGGAAUAUUGCGCAAUGGGCGAAAGCCUGAAGCAGCGACGCAGCGUGAGGGAUGAAGGUCUUCGGAUCGGAAACCUCUGUCAGCAGGGAAGAACAGUCACUGUGCUAAUCAGCAGUGAAUUGACGGUACCUGCAAAGGAAGCACAGGCUAACUCCGUGCCAGCAGCCGCGGUAAUACGGAGGGUGCGAGCGUUAAUCGGAAUUACUGGGUGUAAAGCGCGCGUAGGUGGUAUGUCAAGUCAAGGGUGAAAUCCCCGGGCUCAACGUUGGAACUGCCUUUGAUACUGGCAAACUGGAGUGUGUGAGAGGAUAGUGGAAUUCCAGGUGUAGGAGUGAAAUCCGUAGAUAUCUGGAGGAACACCAGUGACGAAGGCGACUAUCUGGCACAUCACUGACGCUGAGGAGCGAAAGCGUGGGUAGCAAACAGGAUUAGAUACCCUUGUAGUC
rnacentral:rRNA from 1 species